GCUCGGAAAAUUGCAUAUGUAAUAGCUGAAAUUUGUCAGGACUGGAAAGUAGCAGCAAUAAAGCUAAAUUACACAGUUGUAUUUUCCGGGUUUU
rnacentral:SRP_RNA from 1 species